rnacentral:lncRNA from 1 species
GGUGGAAGUGGAUACAGCAGUCAGAGAACAUCUGGCAGAGACAAAUAUGGACCACCUGUUCAUACAGAAUACGAGCUUAUUAUAGAAAGUCUUUCUAGUUGUUACAGUUGGCAAGAUUUAAAGGAUUUUAUGCAACAAGCAGAUGAAGUAACCUAUGUUGAUGCUCACAAGGAAUGCACAAGUGAGGGCGUUGAGUUUCACUCCUAUUUUGACAUGAAGCUUGCUUUGGACAAACUGGAUGGUGCAGAAAUAUUAGGCUUAUUGAAGGUAAGCCAGGCACAAGCCAUAGGCGAUCUGAUUCUGGAAGCAGAUCCAGGUAUAGAUCUAGAAGAUGGUCACGAAGUAGGAGUCGCAGGAGCAGCCACAGUAGAUCUCGAAGUAUCUCAAAAAGUCACUCCUGAUCAGGUUGCGGAGCAAAGGUCGAUCACGUUCUCGUUCAAAAGGCAGGAAAUCUAGCUCAAGGAGCAAAUCUAUGCCCAAAUCUGAUCUGGGCUCCUGUUCUUGUUCUCAAAGCAGAUCUAAGGAUGAGUAUGAGAAAUCUCCAAGCAGGUCUCUGUCCCGAUCUUCCAAAGAAAAUGGAAAAGGUGAUAUGAAGUCAAAAUACAGAUCAAGGAGCCAGUCUCGUUCCAAUUCACCCCUACCUGCUCCACCCUCAAAGGGUCAUUCUGUGUCCCCUCCGCCAAAAAGAGCUACUUCAAGAUCCCGUUCUAGAUCCCAUUCAAAAUAAAGAUCAGGGUGCAGGUUGAGUUCCAGA